rnacentral:lncRNA from 1 species
UUUUCGUACCACGGCGAGGCCGGAUUCCUGUUUUAUCAUGAAUAUUCAUUAGGCAGGGUCGGGGAAAGUCUCGAUUCUCUUAAAUAUUCAUAUCGAGGUGGGAAUGCACGACGCGCGCUAUACUCGCACAAAGUGAGAAGAUUUAGUUCACGGAGAAUGCAUAUGGAUUGAAACUGAAGAGCUGGAAGGAGGAUAUUACAACAUCUCUUAUAUUUGCAAGAUGAAGCAGAAAGUCCCAUGCAGGAUGAUGCCUCUCUACAGUGGAUGAUGAAGGCAUUCUGGUUUGCAAACUCAGGAGAGGAACAAAGAACAGAUGUUGACGGGAUCAUAUCUAGAGAUGCGGGCCUACUACACUUCAUACGAGCAAGUGUGCUAAUAUACAUGAAGGUACCCCCAAUAAAUUUUUGUGGAACAAAUGUCAUGGAGAAAAUUAUAGAUCUGAAACAGAUAUUUUUCAUUGUCAGUUGACUUGUAAAAGAAUAAUUGACUUAAUAUCACAAUUGUAAUUUAGAUUAAAAAUUAAAUGUCAAUAUAGAUG